CACCCGUAUUCACAAACGUUACUGUGAGGUCUCAUAGUAGGCAUGGACGCAUAGGGGUAGCAAAAUCAUUUCACAAACAAUACUUAAGUGGUGAAGCGCACUAUGCGCUCGAUAAACUGAACGCACAGCUAAGCAACUUCGUUAGCUACUUUAGACAACGCAUAGUAGACCAAAAACAGGCCACGUGUACAAAACGUGUGAAGUUAUAUUUUUUUGUCGUCUUAAUUUGUUGUUACUUUCGACCUCAAAAGUCAAAAUGGAUUAUAGCAGUGAAGAAGAAUUCGUAAUUAUAUUAACGAUAGGAUAUUUGAACAAAGGACAAUAAUAACAAGAAAAGUGUCACGUGGUGCUGCGACAUUUUAAGUGUAAGCUUAUUAUAUGAAAAUUACCACGACAAAUCAAAUGAACAAUGUUUCUAAACAAACGGUUCGAAUUGAUUGUCAUUGUCAUUUACUCCUGUCAAACUCUACCAUGAACUUAGCAAUACAAAUGAACCAAUCACAUGUCGCCAGUUUACGCAGUGCGUUUGCUUUGCCAAGCAUUACUUAAGUUUUGUCUAUGAAUAGAAAGGCUCGAUGAAUGGAACGCACUGAGAAGUGUUACCCUUGGCACAGUGUUGAUGCUUUACUUA